UUGUCGUGCAGGGGGAAUAUUUCCCUAGGAAUGCUGAUGUUAGAAUGUUCACUUAGUUCCAAAAUUUCAUGGAGAUAUGUAUGAAUCGCAUUAAGAAAAGAAGUGACGAAAUAUUCAUGGAUAUGUAUGCACUCUUCGAUGUGUGACUGCUUCUCCAACGCUGUAGCUAUACAUUCCUGAUUUAUGAUAUUGCAGUUGCAGCAGUAAGUGCUGACUUCUAUUAAAGCAAUUCACUUGCUUCAUGUUUUUAGUAUUCCAAAUAGACGAGGGUGAUGUAAAUCUUAUAUUCUAGACUGGAUUGCAAAUGUAGUCUUACAGUAUUUGUCCUUUAAUCAUGUUUUUUGCUUUCUACAAAUUGCAGAGUAUUUCUUGCAAACAAGUACUAUUCUUUCAGCGUUAGUCGAUAUCCUUGAUGAAGAUAGGAUCUGAAAGACAAUUGUAAAUGUUGAAUAAUUUACUAGAGAUUUG